CGCCCCCGAUCCCCCCGCCGCAGCGAGCGCGAGAGAGGGCGAGGGAGAGCAGGGGGGUGGGGGGAAGAUCGAUCGCGCUGCCUGUCUGCAGCGGAAACGCACCCGCGCGCCCCGGGCUCGAGACACCGUCACCUUAACCCUUCCCCCACCCGCCGUGAACUUCAGGCUUAGAAAAGAUAAAAAGAAAAAAAAAAAAAAGGAAGAUUCUUCUAAGAAUGUCUCUGAUGGAGCAGUUAAAGUGUCAGUGGGGGCAACUCACCCUGCAGUGCUCAGAGUCUAUUCCUGACCCCCUGCUUAGAAGUGACCGCUGGUGGUGCUCAGAAGACCAUAUGCAGUGCUAGGGCUUCACAUCAGGGUCAGCACGAUGCAGCCCCUUGCAAAACAAUGCCUUCUCUCCUGUACUACUAUCUCUCUCUUCA